GACGAACGCUGGCGGCGUGCUUAACACAUGCAAGUCGAACGGAAAGGCCCUGCUUUUGCGGGGUGCUCGAGUGGCGAACGGGUGAGUAACACGUGAGUAACCUGCCCUUGACUUUGGGAUAACCUCAGGAAACUGGGGCUAAUACCUGAUAGGAGCUCCUGCUGCAUGGUGGGGGUUGGAAAGUUUCGGCGGUUGGGGAUGGACUCGCGGCUUAUCAGCUUGUUGGUGGGGUAGUGGCUUACCGAGGCUUUGACGGGUAGCCGGCCUGAGAGGGUGACCGGCCACAUUGGGACUGAGAUACGGCCCAGACUCCUACGGGAGGCAGCAGUGGGGAAUAUUGCACAAUGGGCGGAAGCCUGAUGCAGCAACGCCGCGUGCGGGAUGAAGGCCUUCGGGUUGUAAACCGCUUUCGCCUGUGACGAAGCGUGAGUGACGGUAAUGGGUAAAGAAGCACCGGCUAACUACGUG
rnacentral:rRNA from 1 species